rnacentral:rRNA from 1 species
GUGGGGAAUUUUGCACAAUGGGCGAAAGCCUGAUGCAGCAAUGCCGCGUGAGUGAUGAAGGCCUUCGGGUUGUAAAUCUCUGUCGGUUGGGACAAAAGGUUUCUCAUUUAAUAAAUGAGAGAAGUGAUGGUACCAGCAAAGGAAGAGGCGGCUAACUCUGUGCCAGCAGCCGCGGUAAUACAGAGGCCUCAAGCGUUGUUCGGAAUUACUGGGCGUAAAGGGAAUGUAGGCGGUUAUGUAAGUCAGAUGUGAAAGCCCUGGGCUUAACCCGGGAACUGCAUUUGAUACUGCAUAGCUAGAGUGCGAGAGAGGAAAGUGGAAUUCCAGGUGUAGGGGUGAAAUCCGUAGAUAUCUGGAGGAAUACCAAUGGCGAAGGCAGCUUUCUGGCUCGUAACUGACGCUGAGAUUCGAAAGCAUGGGUAGCAAACAGGAUUAGAUACCCCAGUAGUCC